UACGUAGGGUGCAAGCGUUGUCCGGAAUUAUUGGGCGUAAAGAGCUCGUAGGCGGUCUGUCGCGUCUGCUGUGAAAACUCAGGGCUUAACCCUGAGCUUGCAGUGGGUACGGGCAGACUAGAGUGCGGUAGGGGAGACUGGAAUUCCUGGUGUAGCGGUGAAAUGCGCAGAUAUCAGGAGGGAACACCGGUGGGCCGAAGGCGGGUCUCUGGGCCGUAACUGACG
rnacentral:rRNA from 1 species